rnacentral:rRNA from 1 species
ACUGCCUGAUGGAGGGGGAUAACUACUGGAAACGGUGGCUAAUACCGCAUAACGUCGCAAGACCAAAGAGGGGGACCUUCGGGCCUCUUGCCAUCAGAUGUGCCCAGAUGGGAUUAGCUAGUUGGUGAGGUAACGGCUCACCAAGGCGACGAUCCCUAGCUGGUCUGAGAGGAUGACCAGCCACACUGGAACUGAGACACGGUCCAGACUCCUACGGGAGGCAGCAGUGGGGAAUAUUGCACAAUGGGCGCAAGCCUGAUGCAGCCAUGCCGCGUGUAUGAAGAAGGCCUUC